GGGCGAUUGGCUCAGUUGGUAGAGCGCCUCGUUCACACCGAGGAGGUCAUCGGUUCGAGUCCGGUAUCGCCCACCA
rnacentral:tRNA from 4 species